CAGUGUGUGUGUUGUGUUAGUGUAUGCAGUGUAUGUGUGUGUUAGUGUAUGCAGGACGUGUGUGUUGUGUUGUAUGCAGUGUGUGUGUUAGUGUAUGCAGUGUGUGUGUGUGUUAGUGUAUGCAGUGUGUGUGUUGUGUUGUAUGCAGUGUGUGUGUUAGUGUAUGCAGUGUGUGUGUUGUGUUAGUGAAUGCAGUGUAUGUGUGUGUUAUUGUAUGCAGUGUGUGUGUUGUGUUA